AUUGAACGCUGGCGGCAGGCCUAACACAUGCAAGUCGAACGAGUGGCGGACGGGUGAGUAAUGUCUGGGAAACUGCCCGAUGGAGGGGGAUAACUACUGGAAAAGGUAGCUAAUACCGCAUACCAUCGGAUGUGCCCAGAGGGGAUUAGCUAGUCGGUGGGGUAACGGCUCACCUAGGCGACGAUCCCUAGCUGGUCUGAGAGGAUGACCAGCCACACUGGGACUGAGACACGGUCCGGACUCCUACGGGAGGCAGCAGUGGGGAAUAUUGCGCAAUGGGCGCAAGCCUGAUGCAGCCAUGCCGCGUGUAUGAAGAAGGCCUUCGGGUUGUAAAGUACUUUCGGCGAGGAGGCGUUACUCGCAGAGGAAGCACCGGCUAACUCCGUGCCAGCCGCCGCGGUAAUUC
rnacentral:rRNA from 1 species